UACGGGGGAGCAAGCGUUGUUCGGAUUUACUGGGCGUAAAGGGCGCGUAGGCGGCCACCGCAAGUCGACUGUGAAAUCUCCGGGCUUAACCCGGAAAGGUCAGCCGAUACUGCGGGCUAGAGUGCAGAAGGGCAACUGGAAUUCUCGGUGUAGCGGUGAAAUGCGUAGAUAUCGAGAGGAACACCUGCGGCGAAGGCGGGUGCUGGGCUGACACUGACGCUGAGGCGCGAAAGCUAGGGGAGCGAACGGG
rnacentral:rRNA from 1 species